rnacentral:rRNA from 1 species
UACGAAGGGGGCGAGCGUUGUUCGGAAUCAUUGGGGCGUAAAGGGCGCGUAGGUGGUUCUGUAUGUCUCACCGUGAAAGCAUACAGCUCAACUGUAUUUUGUCGGUAGAAACUGCAGGACUUGAGGCUGGGAGGGGCUGGUGGAAUUCCCUGUGUAGCGGUGAAAUGCGUAGAGAUGGGGGAGAACACUCGUGGCGAAGGCGCCAGCUAGACCAGUUCUGACACUGAGGCGCGACAGCGUGGGGAGCAAACAGG